GAAGCCGCAGCGGCUCUAAAGGCAGCCCCAGGCUGGCUAAAGCGGUUCCUGGUACGGACACCAAGGCCCCCGUGCUCGGGCCCUACCCAGCCUGGUUCAGGCCUGUCAUACUCGUCUUUCUCCUUCCUGGGAAAUUGCUGAUGGUUCAAGUAAAGACUCUGAAGCAGUCUCAGGGAUAUACUGCUUGGUAGUAAAAGUCAAGUCUUCAUCAUCUAGUUUAUGGCAUGAAUCAACACACAGUUCUUUGAAAAUGCUGAAUGCAGAUUUGUCAGAACUCCCUGAAUCUUCUGCACUUGCUCCUCCUUCUUUCAAACUUGCAUUCUUUGAUGCUUCUGGAUUGUCAUUUUGAAGACCAUUUUCAAGUAUCUUUUUUUUUAUGUUGCAAAAUUUGUUGUUGAAUGCUAGUCAAAACACCACAAAUAGCAUAAUUGUUUGCUGUCUGUCCAUACAUAUCUUGAAUAAAGACAGUAAUAUUUUGUUGAAGAAUGCCGACUAUACCUAACGAGCCAUAAUGUACAGCAUUAUGGCUGUACAGGCGUGAAGGCUGUUCCUCUCAACCUAUCAACAGCAUGUGCAUUUGCUUGUUUCUUCACUAAAAAUUCCAGCAUUUGCUGUCUUUUGCAAACUGCAGCAAGUAAAAGUGAUGUGUUUCCAUCAUUGUUCAGCACUUCAAUAUCCGUAUCAUGGGAAAGUAGUUUUUCUACCAGGAAUGUACUCUCAUUAUAGGACAGCAUAGUGGAGAGCAGUGUUGCUGUAGACAUCCACGUUCCAGCAGAACGAUGCCACGAAUCUCUUCCUGGCAAUGUACAGCCUCCUCAAAGGCAUCCCAUUUUGUUUAUCACCAAUGUCAAUGUGGCAUUUUCAGUUCACCAGGAGAGUCCCCACUUCCACAUGGCCAUUGGCACAGGCCAAACGUACAGCAGCCCUGUCCAUCCACAGCUGAAGGGAUAGAGAAACUGCCAUACAGAUACACACAGAAUAUGCUUCAGCCAUAAAGCUUUGGGAAAUCCUGUCAUCCGCAGCCACAUGGAGAAACCCAGAGGACAUUAGGUCCAAGAAAAUGAGCCUGGUGGAGCAAGUCCCACACUGCGUGAUCUCAGGCAUGUGGACUCCAAAAAGCUUUAUCUCCUGCCCAUCCACAGAUGAAGGGAUCAAGAAACUGAUAUAUAUACACAAAGGAAUGUUCUUUGGCCAUCAAGAUAAUUAAAGGAUGUCAUUUGGAGGAACACAGAUGGCCCGCCGAGGCUGCGGCUGCCUCAUCCUGCACUGUGGAUGGAAGCCGCUGAUCUGACAGGAAGUGGAGCUCAGGUGGUAAUGCUCGCUCUUGCUGUGCUGCCAGGUUCUUAACAGGCCAGGGAUGAUACUGGUCCAGGGGUGGGGGAGCCCUGCUCCAGAUGACAGCCAGAGUAGUCUUAAAUGUAAGUUGGAUUGUUUGUUCCCUGCUUAGACCUUUAGCCAUUUCCCAUUACCAGAAUCUUUGGCGUGGCCUGCGUGGCCCUACUUGAUCUGGCUUCUGUCCUCCCACCCUCCCUCGUUAGCCCCCAUCAUCUCAUGCUACUCCCCCUCGCCCAGGACACUGCCCAGAUAUGUUCUUCUCCUUGGGCAAGAAGUUCUGUGCAUGCAGGUCAAAUCUGAAAGGGACAUUUCUUUCUUUAAUGAGUGUCAGGGAUAGGGGAUGCGGCUGAUGAUAUAAGGGGCCCUCCAAUCAGACUUUCUAAUCUAACUGAAAAGAUCAUUACAAUGUUGAUGCUAAAAAAGAAGGUUCUGGCAAAAUAGAACUUCUGAAGCAUCAUAAAUCAGAUGACUAAUAUUUGUGAUCCCUUUUUAAAUUUUCAUGUGAAGAAGAAUAGGGGAUGUAACUGAAGAAAUGAACCAGAAGUUCUUCUAUGUAUUGAUAACCUAAGUGUGGGAUGCUGUUUGGCUCUGGAAACACGUGGCCUCCUGAUACUUAAUAAACAAUCUAGCAUCACACAUGACUUGUAUUAAAAGAGACACUUCAGUGCUGAAUAGUUUGGUGCUCAAAGGGCAGGAGAGCCAGUUAGUGCUUGGGGAGGCAGAGGGGGAACCUUACCUGAUGGCCAGGGACGUUGGGACUGACUCAGUCCAUGAACAGUGCUUACCUGGAAGAAAGGCAAGGAGUUGAGGAAGAGAGAGGAGAUGGAGGCAAUUCUAGGCCUGAGAUGGGUCUGAGAAUAUCUGUGGGUAAUAAGACCAAUUAAGCUAGAGUAGAAGGGUCAUUUGUGGAGCAAAAGGUUGUGGAUUGUGUUGUACAUGGAAUUUCUUAGGCCACUGUGGCUCUUAGUAGAUAGUGAAAUCAAUAUAGAGGAUCUUGUCCCCCAUUAAAAAUGUUUUGUUUUGUUUUGUUUUUUUGAGACAGUCUUGCUCUGUCACACAUGCUGGAGUACAGUGGAGUACAGAUUCUUUUAAAAAAUACAAGUUAAAGAUUGUGAUAGAAAUAUGAAAACUGGCCGGGCGUUGUGGCUCAUGCCUGUAAUCCCAGCUCUUUGGGAGCCCGAGGCAGGGGGGCUCACCUGAGGUCAGGAGUUCAAGACCAGCCUGGCCUACAUGGUAAACCCCCCGACUCUACUAAAAAUACAAAAGUUAGCCAGGUGUCAUGAUGGGUGCCUGUAAUCCCAGCUACUUGGGAGGCUGAGGCAGGAGAAUCACUUGAACCCGGG
rnacentral:lncRNA from 1 species